rnacentral:rRNA from 1 species
AUGUCUGUGCAUGAUUCUAACCAAUCCAGUGUGAUAAACCUAACCACGGGGGCGAUCUCAGGCAAUGAAGUAGAAAAUGGUAGUGCUACUAUUGAUUGGUCAAGCUUUGUGAUUGAACCAGAAAACGAUGGGGAUGAAAAACCGCUGGACGAGAAAGCCAUGUUUGCUCUGUUUGGUUUAAAAACAGAGCCGGAUGAGAGAGCAACUGAGCUUCCUACUCCUGAUGUGGAGUCUGACUUACAUGAUAUCAAAGAUGCAGAUAUUGUUGUUGAUGAUAAGGCUCCAGAGGAGCCACUUAUUGCCUGGGAUGAACGAAACCCAGCCAUGGAUAUAGGGACACCUUAUCCUAACAUGGUUGAAUUUAGAAAGGCUUUAAAACAGUGGGCUGUCAAUGGAGAGUUUGAAUAUGGCACCAAAAAAAAUGAGCCGGGGAGGUUUCGGGCUUUUUGCAAAGGUCAAUCCAUAAUAGGUGAACCUUGCAAAUGGGCUAUAACUGCUAGUUGGCGAAGGGAUGAAAAUUGUGUGAUGGUAACUGCCUUUUUGUGCUUUAUAUGUUUCUUGCUUCAUAUGUUUCUUGCUUCAUUUUUUUGUCAUAGUAAUAACCUUCAGAUCUGUACCAUUUUUUGUUGUAGGUUGUGA